rnacentral:lncRNA from 1 species
UUGAGAGAGAGCCAGAGAAACAAAGGGUUGAACAUUGAAGACUAAAAAAUAAGGGAGAAUAUAAGAUAGAAAACUGAGUAAAUAUUUAGGUAGUUAUUUUGAACGUAAAUAUUUAGUUAGUUAGUUAGUUGUACCCUUUUUAUUAUUAUGAUAUAUAUCAAAGUAAUUUAGCUUUUUACUACUAACUUCAUUCCUAUUUAAUUAUUAUGGAAGAGAAGAAACACACAUGUUAAGCAGUGCUAUUAAUUUUGUUGAUUUUUUAAAAAAUAUUAUUUGUUUUUCUAUUUUACCUUCUAGAAUGUGUAUUAUCUUUCCUCCUUUAUGUUUCAUACAAGGACACUAUUAGGAAAAAUAUCUUGAAAUUCUAAGUGGACAUAUAUAUAUAUAUAUAUAUAUAUAUAGGAAAACAAAUUCUUCAUAGUGACCAGAUAAUAAGGAAUGAAGGAACGAAGGUAGUAGCUGUCACGACCCAAAAUCCUAAGCCGUGACCGGCGCACAGACUGACACUCUAGUCUGGCAAGCCUGUUUCUCACAAAAAUCAUUUUCCAAACUAUUAUCUAAAGUUACAUAUGUUUCUCUAUAUUUUAUAAAAAAAAUAAAUAUACAAGAUCUCAUCUGUAACACCAAUAUCUAAAUGACAAAACUUGUCAAAUAAUGAUCUCCAUUUUCAUACUUUUAUUAAAAGGAAAUUUUCAAUUUUAGCACUCAAGUGCAACUUUUACAAUAAAACAAUAAAUAACAAUCUUAAAUCCAAAUCCUUCUAAGACUCCCUAUAGCUGCAGAUAACUAGAAUCAAAUAAAAGACAUCAAUCGAGCCACCAACCAAAGGAGGCCUACCAAUAAGAUAAAUUGAACGAUCUGAAUCUGAUACCAGCUUACUACUUAGUUGCCUGUGAAUCUGUGGAGGGAAAAUAAUGAAUGGGGUAAGUCACAAAGACUUAGUGAGGAUUUAACAACCACCAUGAACAGGAAAGGGGAGACAUAUAAAGCACGAGUUUUUCACUAUCUGUUCAGAGUGGAUAACAAUAUAAUAUUAAUAAAAUUAAUAAGCAUCAAUUCAAAUAAGAGAUGAUCAAAUUGCCAAGUUUAUAAAUAAUUGUUUCAAUGAAACUGAAUAAAAAAUUCAUGUCAGUCAUGUGAAAGCAUUUAAAAAUCAGAAAUAUAAUUUAAUAGGGUCACACAUGUAGAACCGUGAGGCGGCUCCAUCUCGUUGAUAGCCCUCUCCUCCUAAGGGAUGGCCUAUCCGAUAGGGGCGGCUCCAUCUAACGGAUAGCCCUUUCCUCUCUCGUAUCACAUGUCGAAUCGUAUCACCGGGGGAAGCUACAUCUCGUUGAUAGCCCUCUCCGUGCACUGGCGGCUCCAUCUAACGGAUAGCCCUCUCCUCCCGGAAUCAAACUAGCUAGGUGCACCUAGGUCGUUACCUCCGUUAACGGCUACGGGGUUCUAUCAAGGAUCCCCAAAACCGUUUUCUCAAAUCAGUUCAAGUCUCAUCAAAAGUCUUAAAAUCAACUUUCCAAGUUCAUAAUCUCAGUUUCACAUAAUUUCCAAAAUCAAAGCAAUAUAAAUUGUUUUCAUAUCAGUUCAUAAUCAGAUUCCAAAUCAACUUCCUAAAACCAACUUUCAGAUAAUUAAAGAACUGUAAAACAUGUUUCCCCCAAUUUAAAUAAAUAGUGAUAUGAUAAAAUAAUCAAAUCAACAAUUAUAUAAUUAUAAAAAUAAGACACAGUGAUUGGAUAAUCACUCACAGCUAUGACGAAAUAAUUGGACCGUCCUCAACAGUUCCGUGACGCGCAAACGAACCUACGCCCGGCAAAUCUGAGCACCAAGAACAUAUUUAACCCUUCAGCAAUAAUUAACUUAUGUCAUACUACCCGUAAGCAACUACGAAAACCCCAAUUAUUUACCCAAAACCCUAAGUAAUCCUACUUUAAGUCUAGCAUACCAUACUACUAUUUCUAAAAUUUGUGAGUGCGGCAUACCUCAAUGCAAUUAACAGAGAAACCUUGACAGGUGGGCACUCCCUUCCUUCCUUAAAGCACCAAUCUUAAACCCCAGAAAUUAACCAAGUGCCUUUGCAAUUGAGUGCCACAAUUCGUUCCUGAGUGUGUAUGCUACAGAGGGAUUUGUAGUGAUUUUUGGGAAGGAGGGAUGAUUGGAAUAAGAGAAAGGAGAAGGACGAGUUGUCUCAAAGGCAUGGGUGGAAAUUGUCGAGGAAGAGAAUGGAGUUACGGUUGGAAGAGAAAAGUAACAAGAGUGGGGUUAAUUGUUUUCUUUAACCAAUUAGGGUAUUUGUUUAUAACUUUUUUUUUUCUAAAAAACCCAUGAGGUGGGCUACGUGCCUUUCCAAACCAGAUUAACUUCAUAUUCCCCCCGUUUUUUUUUGCCUUAUCUCUUUUAUAUAUAAUAAUGGUGACAACUUUAAUAAUUAAAACCAUACUAAUAUUAAACGGGUCUUUUCAAUCUUCCCUCCUUAUAGAAAAUUCGUCCUCGAAUUUUAAAGCUUAAACUAACCUUGAGCUUCACACAAGUGGGGAUACUUCUCGUGCUUUAUGGUCUUAGACUUCCGAAUCAUCUUUUCUGCAUAUUGUCCUUGUCAAAGAUUUUCACUGGACCAAUAUUCUUAGAAUGUUAGCGUUCUUCUAUCAACUAUGACUACUGAAUCCUCCAUAUGAUAUAAAUGUCCAUCUAGUUGUGCAUCCUCAUGAGGGGAUAAGAUGAGAAUGAACAUAUAGGUAUCUUCAAAGCAUAGAAAUAUGAAACUAGGUGAACUCCAAAUUUGUAUGGGAAAAACAUCAAUUGAUAAGCUACAAAGUCAUCUCUCUUCAAGAUCUCCAACAAUCUAAUGAAUCUUGAACUUAACUUCCCUUUCUUAUCCAAUCAUAACACUCAUUUCAUUGGGGAAACGCGUAAGAACAUAUGGUCUGCAACUACGAACUCUAAAGGGCAUCUCCUCCUAUCAGCAUAACACGUUUUCAUACUCUUAUUUGUAACCAAUUAGUUUCAGACCACCUUAACCUUUUUCUACAUUGUAUCUUGGAUAAGUUAUGAGCCUACAAGCAUUGCUCCUCUAACAUCAACCAAGCUAUUGGUGAUCUGCAUCUCCUACCAUACCUGGCCUCAAAUUGUAUAAUCUUAAUGCUAGACUGGUAGCGGCUAUUAUAAGAGAACUUCAUUAAAGACAAAUUCUGCUCUCAUCUCCUUCUAAAGUCUAAAAACACAAGCACAAAACAUAUCUUCCGAGAUCUGAAUAAUCCUCUUAAAUCAGCCAUCAAUUUAAGGAUAGAAAGUUGUACCCAAAUCAAAUGUGACCCCACAACAACUUUGAAAGUUUUCUAAAACAAUGCAUUCAAUUAAGCUCCUUGAUCUGAAAUUAUAAACAAGCUUACACCAUGCAAACAAACAAUCUCAAUCAAGGUAAACCAUACAAUAUUGUAGUGUAAGUACUUCUAUAGACAAAAGUGUUCAUACUCUGCCAAUUGAUCCAUAAUCACCGUUACAAAAUCAUAACACAUUAAAUUUCUAAGCAAACCUCUCACCAAGUUCAUAACAACACCUUCUCAUUUCCCCUAUGGUAUCUUAAUAGACUGAAGCAACAUUACUCGCUUUUAUGUUCGACCUUCACAUGCUAACAUACUAAACAGUUAGAAACAAAUUCUACAACAUUCUUCUUCAUCUCUUCCCACUAAUAGAAAUUCCUCAAGUAUCCUAUGUGAAUGGUGUGAGAAUAAUUAUGAGCAUCCUCUAAUAUUUUCCCUCAAACUAUCUACAUUAGACACACACACUAUUAUUCAAGUCAUAAAAUAUCAUCAGAGUCUAAUGAAAACUAUGAAAUCUUUUCACUUUAACAUCAUCCACCAUCUUCAUCACCUACAAAUCUUGACCCUUAUCAUAUUUAACAUCAUCAACCAAAGUAGAACUAAUUUGCAUGUAAGUCAACACUCAACAUUAAGUUGAAAUGGGCAAGCCCCAAUGAAACUCUUCUAUCAUCAAGCUUCUAGAGCUCUUCUUUAUCCUCAAUAUGAAUAAGAAUAUCAUUAAUAAAUACAAUCAUAAAAUGCUCAAGAAGGAUUUAAAGAUAUGGUUCAUUGAAUUCUUAAAUCAACAGUGGUGUCACUAAGUCCAAAGGCAUGACUAACUACCCAUUACAGUCAUAACAUGUUCUGUAAGUGGUCUUCAAAAUUCUUUCUUUCUUAAAAAUUCCAUUUAUGGUACCUAGAUUACUAAGUCCUUUUUUUUAUACCAUCAUAUUCUCCAAUUGCCUGUAGUCAACACAUAACUACAUAGUCUUGACUCUCUUCUUCACAAUAAGUCUGGUUCAGAAACUAACUAUAUGGAAAACUCUAUCCCCUUAGGAGAUACAUUAUGCAAAACACACAUUACAAAAAUCUCCUCUAGUUUCAAUUUUGCUAAUUGAGUAUCUUUACCAAGAGCAAUUAUCACCUACAACUCUUCCGUAGUAACUUGUUAACUUUCAAUACUAAAACUGGAUUAUGAGGUGUCCAACUUCACUCCCGAAAAUGAGAAAAACGACUCUCCUUGUGCCUGAAAUCUCACUACCUUAUUUAUGACAAUCCAAAGUAUCGUUGACAAAAGAUUAUCCAAUCUAUAUCCAAAGAUCACACUAAAAUCAAUUAUGUCUUAAGCUAUAACGACUAACAACAACUCUCAAUUGAUUUCCAAUGGAUAUCUUAAAAAUAAUGGUGCACAACUUUACUAUAGAAAACUCUCUAAGAGGUGUAGCCACGAGCCCAUAACCAACAUAUUAUUUAAGGAAAGAGAAAAUUUUCCAACUUCAGAAGCGUACUAAAAAUGGUAAAAUGGAGUGAGUAUAUAGCUUUAGGAUCAAACAAAACAUGAACAUCUCAAUAACAUAUAGAAAGCGGACUUGUAACCACUACAAUGGAUUCUUGAGAAUCAUGACGAUUCAAAGCAAAGACUCAAGCUUGACUCCCUUGCCAGUCAUUAACCUCAACCACCAAAUCCUGGUACUCACUAACCUUGGCCAAAAUAACUCAUAGCUUGCACCACAGCUAUAUGUCAAUUCCUCCUAGUAUGUAACUUGUCACUAACAUCACACCCUACUAAAUCACAAGCAAGCUACAAGAUGAAACUUUUGAGAAAUAGAAUCUGAUAUAAAUAUCGCACAUAAAUGCAUUUGAGGAAGUAAUGGUGCGUGAAUUCCCUUCAGAACUUAAUAUAUGACUUUGCACAAAGUUUGAAGCCUGGACACUAGAACCACUCCCUAGUGUCAUUGACUUUAUCCUGUUCCAGCAACUCAAACACAUGAGUCAAACCAUUUCUAACUCUCGUAUCAAACGAUUUAUAAAUGUCAAAAUUUGUCCUAUGAUAUUGGAGGUGAUCUCGUCGUUAUUGUGUGCACAAAGUCACAAAACCAAUCAUAUACUACACCAUCUAACUAGAAUGAUGUUAACUCCACCUCUCUAACGUGGGUGCAUCCAAAUUGCUCUCCAUAGUUUCCAUAAAGCACCAUUAAUCCUCACUUGCUCCCCAUGUGCAUGCGUACUAGAAAAUUAGGAGAAUUUAAGCCUCAUGCAACCAACUUAGUGUGACCUGAAUCUUUCUAGUGACACCUACAUUUUGUUGCUCUCUUAUGCCUAGCAUCUUGCUGAAACUCAUAAAUUGUCAUACGUGGGUUAUGUUGUUGCUGCCCAACAACCAGUCCAACGUGUUAUUGCAAGUCAUGUUAUGAUUCUUUCAUUUCAUACCAACUGUAAGCUCUACCAUCCUUGAAUGUCAUUACCGCAAUAUAAGCACGUUAACAUUAGCUACAACAGGGAGCAACAAGCUCGUAUCGGCGAUGGUCCUUGGCGUAAACUACAACACCGACCACAACCAAAGAGGAUCUUCAUAAGCUGACACAUCCUCUAAUAGAAAUAGAAUUUAGGUGGUAUCCUCACUGAACAAAGAAUAUUCAUCGAUUAUAAGACAUGACUCAGAUUUUUUUGUGAAUUGAGGAACGAACUCAAAUCACACAUGGAAACAACAUUAAGACUCUCAUGAGGUGUUAAUAGCAUCUUUGAAGUAAAUUGUGCCGCGGUUCACAAUUUACUAGAAAGAUUCUAUCACUACAUCAUGUCUGCAGCUAAUAGGACCUACAACCAGGCUCUGAUACCAAUUGUAACAUCCUGACUUGACUACUGGCCUCACGGUAACAACACGAGUCUUUUCAGCGCGCUUUGUCCUCACUCGCGCGCUUCCCGGGAAAACUUCCCAGGAGGUCACCCAUCAUAAUAUUGCUCCAAGGCUAGCACACUUAACCAUGGAGUUCUUAUGAGUUUGGCUCCCGAAAAGAAGUUGCAACUUGUUGUUAUGGGUAGUACAAUCAAAUCAUAUAUGCCCUCCUCAACUGUAUAGUCCAUCCCUACACAGUCUCGGAAUACCUCUUGUUCGGGUGUGAGAUCGGCUCAUUCUUGUGACCCUCCGCCUAGAAGCCUGCCAGGAGCCGCUCCUUGUCCAUGCCUCACUGCACCGGCGAUCACUCCCCGCCCUCGUCAGCCCCGGGUAUCACAGGCCCACCAGCUUCCGCUUGGUUCGUCCCCGAACCACUCCGUACUGGGAGAGGUCGGCUCUGAUACCAACUUUGUCACGACCCAAAAUCCUAAGCCGUGACCGGCGCACAGACUGACACUCUAGUCUGGCAAGCCUGUUUCUCACAAAAAUCAUUUUCCAAACUAUUAUCUAAAGUUACAUAUGUUUCUCUAUAUUUUAUAAAAAAAAUAAAUAUACAAGAUCUCAUCUGUAACACCAAUAUCUAAAUGACAAAACUUGUCAAAUAAUGAUCUCCAUUUUCAUACUUUUAUUAAAAGGAAAUUUUCAAUUUUAGCACUCAAGUGCAACUUUUACAAUAAAACAAUAAAUAACAAUCUUAAAUCCAAAUCCUUCUAAGACUCCCUAUAGCUGCAGAUAACUAGAAUCAAAUAAAAGACAUCAAUCGAGCCACCAACCAAAGGAGGCCUACCAAUAAGAUAAAUUGAACGAUCUGAAUCUGAUACCAGCUUACUACUUAGUUGCCUGUGAAUCUGUGGAGGGAAAAUAAUGAAUGGGGUAAGUCACAAAGACUUAGUGAGGAUUUAACAACCACCAUGAACAGGAAAGGGGAGACAUAUAAAGCACGAGUUUUUCACUAUCAGUUCAGAGUGGAUAACAAUAUAAUAUUAAUAAAAUUAAUAAGCAUCAAUUCAAAUAAGAGAUGAUCAAAUUGCCAAGUUUAUAAAUAAUUGUUUCAAUGAAACUGAAUAAAAAAUUCAUGUCAGUCAUGUGAAAGCAUUUAAAAAUCAGAAAUAUAAUUUAAUAGGGUCACACAUGUAGAACCGUGAGGCGGCUCCAUCUCGUUGAUAGCCCUCUCCUCCUAAGGGAUGGCCUAUCCGAUAGGGGCGGCUCCAUCUAACGGAUAGCCCUUUCCUCUCUCGUAUCACAUGUCGAAUCGUAUCACCGGGGGAAGCUACAUCUCGUUGAUAGCCCUCUCCGUGCACUGGCGGCUCCAUCUAACGGAUAGCCCUCUCCUCCCGGAAUCAAACUAGCUAGGUGCACCUAGGUCGUUACCUCCGUUAACGGCUACGGGGUUCUAUCAAGGAUCCCCAAAACCGUUUUCUCAAAUCAGUUCAAGUCUCAUCAAAAGUCUUAAAAUCAACUUUCCAAGUUCAUAAUCUCAGUUUCACAUAAUUUCCAAAAUCAAAGCAAUAUAAAUUGUUUUCAUAUCAGUUCAUAAUCAGAUUCCAAAUCAACUUCCUAAAACCAACUUUCAGAUAAUUAAAGAACUGUAAAACAUUUUUCCCCCAAUUUAAAUAAAUAGUGAUAUGAUAAAAUAAUCAAAUCAACAAUUAUAUAAUUAUAAAAAUAAGACACAGUGAUUGGAUAAUCACUCACAGCUAUGACGAAAUAAUUGGACCGUCCUCAACAGUUCCGUGACGCGCAAACGAACCUACGCCCGGCAAAUCUGAGCACCAAGAACAUAUUUAACCCUUCAGCAAUAAUUAACUUAUGUCAUACUACCCGUGAGCAACUACGAAAACCCCAAUUAUUUACCCAAAACCCUAAGUAAUCCUACUUUAAGUCUAGCAUACCAUACUACUAUUUCUAAAAUUUGUGAGUGCGGCAUACCUCAAUGCAAUUAACAGAGAAACCUUGACAGGUGGGCACUCCCUUCCUUCCUUAAAGCACCAAUCUUAAACCCCAGAAAUUAACCAAGUGCCUUUGCAAUUGAGUGCCACAAUUCGUUCCUGAGUGUGUAUGCUACAGAGGGAUUUGUAGUGAUUUUUGGGAAGGAGGGAUGAUUGGAAUAAGAGAAAGGAGAAGGACGAGUUGUCUCAAAGGCAU